UCUUUUAAAUUAAAAAUCAUAUGCUGAGGUUGCUAAGAUCUAUGGCAAGAAUGAAUCUUCUAUCUGUGAAACUGUGAAGAAGGAAAAUGAAAUUUAUGCUAGUUCUGCUGCAUAUAUAGGGUUCAGUAUUAUCUGCAGUUUCAGCCUACCUAUUCUCCCAGAGGGCAUGCAUUCUAUGGAGACAGAGCUGAAUGUGUGCCAUCAGAAGACCAAAAUCAAGCGACAUUUUAAAAAGAAAACAGACUCUUCUGGGAAAAAUGGUGACUCCACAAAGUAAGAAGCCACCAAGACUUGUAGGACAUUCCUUCAUCUUCUCCUGGAUGGGGCAACCCAGCCAUGGAUAUAUGCCUCCAAUCAGCAUAAAUGCCCAUUGCUUGAUAAAGUCAACACACGUGUAAGAUGGAAAUUCUGUUUCUUGAAGGGAACUCCUCAGAGAAAAGGACCACAAGCAAAUUGCUGCUGCUACAAAAUGAUACCAUAAUGAGAAUGGAAAUAAUCCUGGAUUCUCUGCUCAUUUCGACAAGUAAAAUAAGGCACAUAUUUUUCAAUGGAUAGACAUAUUGCAGGUAUCUGUCACAUCAAGCAAGGUUUGAAGAAGAAACAACUGGAGAAUUUUACUUAUGUGGAUGAAAAAGCAAACAGAAGUUAGUCCAGCAUGGAAGUCACAUGCUUUGGGAUUGUAGCAUUGUGUUCUCCUGUAGGAGGUGAUCCAUUGUCAUUUAUCGGAAUCCAUCUUCACUCAAAAGG
rnacentral:lncRNA from 1 species